rnacentral:lncRNA from 1 species
AUCAGAGGAGGAUGCUGUAGAAUUCUAUUGUAAACUUAUCUGCUGGUAUUACUGAUCCCUGGAUCAUUGCAGGAGAUUUUAAUGCCAUACUAUCUAGCAAGGAUAGACAAUCCUGCCAACAAGUUAAGCAAAGGGAACUAGUUGAUUUCAAUAACUGCAUUCAGCAAUCAUGCCUGGUCGAACUUCCAUGGAAAGGAAAUUU